rnacentral:rRNA from 1 species
AUUGAACGCUGGCGGCAGGCCUAACACAUGCAAGUCGAGCGGAUGAAGGGAGCUUGCUCCUGGAUUCAGCGGCGGACGGGUGAGUAAUGCCUAGGAAUCUGCCUGGUAGUGGGGGAUAACGUCCGGAAACGGGCGCUAAUACCGCAUACGUCCUGAGGGAGAAAGUGGGGGAUCUUCGGACCUCACGCUAUCAGAUGAGCCUAGGUCUGAUUAGCUAGUUGGUGGGGUAAAGGCCUACCAAGGCGACGAUCCGUAACUGGUCUGAGAGGAUGAUCAGUCACACUGGAACUGAGACACGGUCCAGACUCCUACGGGAGGCAGCAGUGGGGAAUAUUGGACAAUGGGCGAAAGCCUGAUCCAGCCAUGCCGCGUGUGUGAAGAAGGUCUUCGGAUUGUAAAGCACUUUAAGUUGGGAGGAAGGGCAGUAAGUUAAUACCUUGCUGUUUUGACGUUACCAACAGAAUAAGCACCGGCUAACUUCGUG